rnacentral:lncRNA from 1 species
AGAAAUAUAAUUCACAAGCAAAAAUGUAAUCUUUUCUUGAAAAGAACUGUAAGUCCAUAGCUUAAAAUUAUAAAAACUGGGGUUGGGGAUUUAGCUUUAUAAACCCUGGGUUCGGUUCCCAGCUCCGAAAAAAAGAAAAGAAAAAAAUAUAAAAAACUGCAUAAAAGAAAUUCAGAUGAUCGAGCAUUUAUGCUCUUACUACAUAAUAAAUCAAAGUUAAUAGAAUAAAAUAGUCACUAACUACCAUCAAUGGGAUUAACAUCAGUGGAGACCUAACCUAAGCACUAUAUUUAGCAGAAGCAAAAUAUGUUAUUCCUUUAACACUCGUUUUAUUUUGUCUUUUUCUUUCGGGAAGGUGGGGUUUUGAGACAGGGUUUCUAUGUAUAGCCUUGGCUGUCCUGGAACUCAUCUGUAGUUUAGAUACGCCUGCUGACUCUUGAAAUUAAAGACGUGUGCCACCGCCGCCAGGCUACUUUAACUGAGUGAGACCUACUUUGGAAAGCGAAGAAAAUGACACCUUGAGUUACAAGGGGGAUAGCUCAGAACUUCUUGAUAAGCAACUGCUUAUUUAAAUAGCUCAGCGACGUGCUAAGAAAUAGGAUCCAAUCUAUCAGGAAAAAAUUCCACUCCUAGGAAGCAAUUUAGGGGAGUGGUGAAGCAGAGGCGACUUGUCAUUCUCUCCCAUUGUGGUAGCAUCGAUUCCCGCCCACCGGCUUCCCACCUCUCAGGAACUUAAGCACACACGGGCCGCGCGCGUCCCUGGAGCAGACAGCAGCUCCUGUUACCUCUGCAGGGAGGACCCAUCCCGGGAGCACUACCCUAGCCGCUGGGCUCCGUCUCCGGGAGACCGAGCGAAUUAGAAUGAGUCUGUAAGCUCGGAGUCCCGUGGGGACCAGGGGAUCGUGACAUUCCCCGGAUCUCCCCUCAGAAAACUGGACAGCAUUCGGGGAAUUCGGGUUCCCCUGGUUCUCCGCGUCACGCCGCGUCCGACCCGGUUCUCUCACACCGCGGAGUGCCCUCCGCCGCGACAGGAUCGGGCGCCCGUAGGGAGCCUCACAGCCGGAGGGCGCUUGCCUCGCAAGCUGGACGGCCUCCGGCCCGGCUCACCUUCAGGUUGUUCACGAGAAGGUACUUGCACUGCCGCGCUAUCUCCAUAUACUUGUCCAGAUCCAGCGAC